rnacentral:misc_RNA from 1 species
AUAAUGCAUUCACAUUGGUAUCUGGGAGGAGCAAUAGCUCCUGCACUAUCUCCACUCGCUUUUUCCUCGUGGCGACGUGCAGUGCAGUGUUACCGAAUUUAUCAGGAAGCAUAACAAUGGCAGGAUCUGCAUCAAGGAGCAACUUCACGACAUCACGACUCUGCCCUUUGACAGCCAUGUGCAGUGCAGUUUGGCCCUUCUUAUCAUUUCUUCGUGCUAGCUGUUGAUCUUUGCUGAGUAAUAGCUUUACAAUUUCAGUAUGGCCAGGGCGCACAGCAAAAUGCAAUG